rnacentral:misc_RNA from 1 species
GAAAAUGUUAAUAAACAUAACUUCAAGAAUAAUAAUUUAUUUUCAUUUAUGGAGUGAAGUGUUCAUUAUGUAAAAAUUGAUCCUAUAUAUCUGUAAGUUAACAAACAAGGAAGCUUAGAUAGUUUUCCUAAACUCAUUGGUCACUGAUUUAAAAGCUAAGUUUGACUGAAUCCUCACUUUUCAAUCACUUAUAAGCUUGUCUCAUUUUUCAGGUGUUAUUUGUCAGAUCUUUUCACUUAGUUUUUGAGUGUAUUAGAUUGAUCAAAUUAUCUGAAUUUAAUUAGUUUUGACAUGUCCAGGCUAAGUUUUUCAUUAUUUUCCAUUCAUAAAAUCUCAAUAAGAAAACAAAUAAAUGAUUUUUCAUUCAUUGGAUUUAGUGAUAAUGACUAGAUAUAAAAGAUUAUACUCCGAUAGCUCUUUGGCAUUUGGAUAAAGAAAUUAUUGAACUUAUGUAUGCAGAAAUGAAUGAACAAAUAAGAUCCCCUAAGAGAAGAAGAAAGAACAAAUAAAAUGACUUCUAAUUUCUUUGUUCCUCCCUUCCUUAAUAAAUUUUUUCCUUUAUUCAUUCUUGUUAAAUAAUUAAAAAUAGAAAAGUUUUUGAUGUUAAGGCUAAGUGCAACACACUGGAAGAACAAUUUAACCUCAUAGCCAGUGUCCUAAUUCUUGUUCCAUAGAUUUUAGAGUUCAACAAUCUCCUUCUCUUGACAUGAAUACCUAAGCUAUUGGCUUUGUUCCUUGAUCCAAACAAACGAAAAGCCUAAUGCAAGAAGAACAAACAUGUUAUAUUACCCCAAACCUCCCUUUUU